rnacentral:tRNA from 1 species
GGGCGCUUAGCUCAGCUGGUUAGAGCGCAUGCUUCACACGCAUGAGGUCACAGGUUCGAGUCCUGCAGUGCCCACCA